GAUGAACGCUGGCGGCGUGCCUAAUACAUGCAAGUCGAGCGAACAGACGAGGCGCUUGCUCCUCUGACGUUAGCGGCGGACGGGUGAGUAACACGUGUAUCACCUACCUAUAAGACUGGGAUAACUUCGGGAAACCGGAGCUAAUACCGUAUAAUAUAUUGAACCGCAUGGUUCAAUAGUGAAAGACGGUUUUGCUGUCACUUAUAGCUGGAUCCGCGCCGCAUUAGCUAGUUGGUAAGGUAACGGCUUACCAAGGCAACGAUGCGUAGCCGACCUGAGAGGGUGAUCGGCCACACUGGAACUGAGACACGGUCCAGACUCCUACGGGAGGCAGCAGUAGGGAAUCUUCCGCAAUGGGCGAAAGCCUGACGGAGCAACGCCGCGUGAGUGAUGAAGGUCUUCGGAUCGUAAAACUCUGUUAUUAGGGAAGAACAAAUGUGUAAGUAACUAUGCACGUCUUGACGGUACCUAAUCAGAAAGCCACGGCUAACUACGUG
rnacentral:rRNA from 1 species